rnacentral:rRNA from 1 species
UACGGAGGGGGCAAGCGUUGUCCGGAAUUACUGGGCGUAAAGGGCGCGUAGGCGGCGUGUCAAGUCAGGCGUGAAAGCCCCGGGCUCAACCUGGGAACCGCGCUUGAGACUGGCAUGCUCGAGUUCGGGAGAGGAUGGUGGAAUUCCCAGUGUAGAGGUGAAAUUCGUAGAUAUUGGGAAGAACACCGAUGGCGAAGGCAGCCAUCUGGACCGACACUGACGCUGAGGCGCGAAAGCGUGGGGAGCAAACAGG